GGAGCUUGCUCUUUAUGUGAGUGGCAGACGGGUGAGUAACACGUGGGAAUCUACCUUUUUGUGGGGGAUAACUGUUGGAAACGACAGCUAAUACCGCAUAAGCCCUGAGGGGGAAAGGCCGUAAGGUCGCAAGAAGAGGAGCCCGCGGUAGAUUAGGUUGUUGGUGGGGUAAUGGCCUACCAAGCCUGUGAUCUAUAGCUGGUCUGAGAGGAUGAUCAGCCACACUGGGACUGAGACACGGCCCAGACUCC
rnacentral:rRNA from 1 species